rnacentral:tRNA from 1 species
UGGCAGGUAGUUCAAAAGGAAGAACGCUAUUAUCCUUAUUCGCAACUUGCCUGAAUAGGCCGAAGAAUCGAGGGUUAUCGUCUGCAAAACGAGAGGUUGCGGGUACCCUACGGGAAGCAAGCUACGAGUCCCGCUCUGCCAC